rnacentral:misc_RNA from 1 species
GGUGAAGAACGUAGUGAAAUGCGAUAAGUAGUGUGAAUUGCAGAAUUCAGUGAAUCAUCGAAUCUUUGAACGCACAUUGCGCCCUUUGGUAUUCCAAAGGGCAUGCCUGUUCGAGCGUCAUUUGUACCCUCAUGCUUUGCUUGGUGUUGGCGUCUUGUCUCUAGCUUUGCUGGAGACUCGCCUUAAAGUAAUUGGCAGCCGGCCUACUGGUUUCGGAGCGCAGCACAAGUCGCACUCUCUAUCAGCAAAGGUCUAGCAUCCAUUAAGCCUUUUUUUCAACUUUUGACCUCGGAUCAGGUAGGGAUACCCGCUGAACUUAAGCAUAUCAAUAAGCGGAGGA